AUGAUAGUGCAUGUGUCAAAUGCACAUAGUUUUGGACUAGAUCCUGGACCUACGCCACAAGUUUGCGACCUCUCUAAGGCUAGUAAUUCUGUCAUUUUAGACAAGGAAAAAAAACAUCAAAAAGUGGGCAAAGGAUAUACCUCAUGCUGGGCAGCCCAUGCAGCUGCCGGAUGCCUCCUGGUACGCGAGUUUGAGGAGUGCCACAUCCCCGACACCGCCUUCUUGGACAUCGACCAGUGCAGCGACUGCACCUUGCCCUACGACCACAUGCUGCCCUGCACCGAGCACUUCACAAAGUAUGCGGGCCGCCUGGGCAUGGGCACAGCCACCCACGUCAUGAUCUACGACGCCAGUGACCAGGGCCUCUACUUCGCUCCGCGAGUCUGGUGGAUGUUCCAUGCCUUCAGCCACUGCGCCGUGUCACUGCUGGAUGGUGGCUUCUGCCACUGGCUGCGCCAGGACCUCCUGCUCAGCUCCAGUAAGAGCCACCCUGUGCCCACCACAUUCAUCACUCAGCUGGACCCCGCCUUCAUCAAGACCUAUGAAAACAUCAAGGAGAACUUGGAAUCCCAGCGCUUCCAGGUGGUGAACUGCUGAGCCGCCGGCAGGUUCUGCGGCACCGAGCCGGAGCCUCGAGAUGGCAUUGAACCUGGCCACAUCCCGGGGACUGUGAACAUCCCCUUUACAGACUUCCUGACCCAGGAGGGGCUGGAGAAGAGCCCUGAGGACAUCCGCCAUCUGUUCCCGGAGAAGAACGUGGACCUGGCCAAGCCACUAGUGGCCACAUGUGGAUCUGGCGUCACAGCCUGCCACGCAGUGCUAGGGGCCUACCUCUGCGGUAAGCCUGACGUGCCCAUCUAUGAUGGCUCCUGGGUAGAAUGGUACAUGCCUGCCCAGCCUGAGGAUGUCAUCUCAGAGGGCCGGGGGAAGACCCACUGAGGCUGGGCAGGACACAGGAAAGCUCGGAUGAUGCCAGCCUCCAGCAAUGCCUGGCCUGGUAGCUCUGGCUCUGCUUUAACCGAGAAAGUCUUUCUUCAUUCAACUCAAGUAGCUUUUGGGGUGACAUCCCAGAGGCCAGAAAUUCCAUUGACUUGUUGGCUGCCAGUGGGGGCUGGAGGAAAGGCGGGGGCAAGCACUGGAAGAGAGAGGCCGCAACUCCGAGCUGCCCAUGUGCUGCUGAGCUGGGGCCCCACCUCUUUUCUGUUUUAUUUUUGAGAAAAUAAAACAACCAAGUGCUAAAAAAA